rnacentral:rRNA from 1 species
UACGUAGGGUGCGAGCGUUAAUCGGAAUUACUGGGCGUAAAGCGUGCGCAGGCGGUUCCAUAAGACAGAUGUGAAAUCCCCGGGCUUAACCUGGGAACUGCAUUUGUGACUGCGAGACUAGAGUGUAGCAGAGGGGGGUAGAAUUCCACGUGUAGCAGUGAAAUGCGUAGAGAUGUGGAGGAAUACCGAUGGCGAAGGCAGCCCCCUGGGCUAACACUGACGCUCAUGCACGAAAGCGUGGGGAGCAAACAGG